AUUGAACGCUGGCGGCAUGCUUUACACAUGCAAGUCGAACGGUAACAGAGAGAAGCUUGCUUCUCUGCUGACGAGUGGCGAACGGGUGAGUAAUAUAUCGGAACGUGUCCAUUAGAGGGGGAUAACUAGUCGAAAGAUUAGCUAAUACCGCAUACGCCCUGAGGGGGAAAGUGGGGGAUCUUCGGACCUCACGUUAAUGGAGCGGCCGAUAUCUGAUUAGCUAGUUGGUAGGGUAAAAGCCUACCAAGGCGACGAUCAGUAGCUGGUCUGAGAGGAUGAUCAGCCACACUGGGACUGAGACACGGCCCAGACUCCUACGGGAGGCAGCAGUGGGGAAUUUUGGACAAUGGGCGCAAGCCUGAUCCAGCCAUGCCGCGUGAGUGAAGAAGGCCUUCGGGUUGUAAAGCUCUUUCGCAAGGAAAGAAAACUUACAUGUAAAUAAUAUGUGAGGUUGACGGUA
rnacentral:rRNA from 1 species